rnacentral:lncRNA from 1 species
CAGUUUGACCAGGUACUUUUAGUCUUGCACUACUGCACAAAACAAAGACUGCCUGUACUUAUUUUGGGGGUUUUUUCUUUGGUUGUUGGGGGGUUUUUGGUUUGUUUUUGUUUUUAGCUUUCUGUAGUUUUCUGCUAAUUAACACAAUAGAGCAUCUCUCUUUUGUUUUCUGUGUUUGAUGCUGUAACCAGCUUCCUUUUAUUUUGAUAAUAGGAUGAAGGUUAUUAAUUCCUAGCUCUCUAAGAAAAAUAAUAUUCCUUUUAUAUAUAGCUGACAACAGCUGUUUGAGACCUAUUGAUAGAAAUGGGAAGCUUCUUUGUCCAGUGCCGGACAGCUAUACUUUGAAGGAAGCAGAAUUGAAGAUGGGAAGUUCAUUGGGACUGUGUCUUGGAAAAGCACCAAGUUCGUCUCAGUUGUUCCUGUUUUUUGCAAUGGGGAGUGACGUUCAACCUGGGACAGAAAUGGAAAUCGUAGUAGAAGAAACAAUAUCUGUGAGAGAUUGUUUAAAGUUAAUGCUGAAGAAAUCUGGCCUACAAGGAGAUGCCUGGCAUUUACGAAAAAUGGAUUGGUGCUAUGAAGCUGGAGAGCCUUUAUGUGAAGAAGAUGCAACACUGAAAGAACUUCUGAUAUGUUCUGGAGAU